AAAAAAAAAACAAUAAAAAAAAUAGAACAACUUGUGCUAUUUUGUCCGUACGUGCUCAUGUGCUCACCAUUUCCCAUUUCCCCCGCUUUUUUCUUGUUCCUCUCUCUUGCUUCUCUUCGUUCACUGCUACUUGGACAGGAGAGCAGGAGAGAAUAGAGGCAUCAUUACAAAAAAA
rnacentral:ribozyme from 1 species